rnacentral:tRNA from 1 species
GGGAAGGUGGCUCAGUGGUAGAGCGCUUGUCUUGCAUGCAUGAGGCCCUGGGUUCAAUUCCUCAGCACCCA